GACGAACGCUGGCGGCGUGCUUAACACAUGCAAGUCGAACGGAAAGGCCCUGCUUUUGUGGGGUGCUCGAGUGGCGAACGGGUGAGUAACACGUGAGUAACCUGCCCUUGACUUUGGGAUAACUUCAGGAAACUGGGGCUAAUACCGGAUAGGCGCUCCUGCUGCAUGGUGGGGGUUGGAAAGUUUCGGCGGUUGGGGAUGGACUGGCGGCUUAUCAGCUUGUUGGUGGGGUAGUGGCUUACCAAGGCUUUGACGGGUAGCCGGCCCCAGAGGGUGACCGGCCACAUUGGGACUGAGAUACGGCCCAGACUCCUACGGGAGGCAGCAGUGGGGAAUAUUGCACAAUGGGCGGAAGCCUGAUGCAGCAACGCCGCGUGCGGGAUGACGGCCUUCGGGUUGUAAACCGCUUUCGCCUGUGACGAAGCGUGAGUGACGGUAAUGGGUAAAGAAGCACCGGCUAACUACGUG
rnacentral:rRNA from 1 species